GCGGCGGUGGGUCAGUGGUAGAAUUCUCACCUUCCAUGUGAGAAUCCUGGGUUCAAAUCCCAGCCAGUGCA
rnacentral:tRNA from 1 species